AACGAACGCUGGCGGCAGGCCUAACACAUGCAAGUCGAGCGAACCCUUCGGGGUUAGCGGCGGACGGGUUAGUAACGCGUGGGAAUAUACCCUUUGGUACGGAAUAGCCUCGGGAAACUGAGAGUAAUACCGUAUGUGCCCUUCGGGGGAAAGAUUUAUCGCCAAAGGAUUAGCCCGCGUUGGAUUAGAUAGUUGGUGGGGUAAUGGCCUACCAAGUCUACGAUCCAUAGCUGGUUUGAGAGGAUGAUCAGCAACACUGGGACUGAGACACGGCCCAGACUCCUACGGGAGGCAGCAGUGGGGAAUCUUAGACAAUGGGCGCAAGCCUGAUCUAGCCAUGCCGCGUGGACGAUGAAGGCCUUAGGGUUGUAAAGUCCUUUCAGAUGGGUAAGAUAAUGACGGUACCAUCAGAAGAAGCCCCGGCUAACUCCGUGCCAGCAGCCGCGGUAAAGUCAG
rnacentral:rRNA from 1 species